rnacentral:rRNA from 1 species
AUUGAACGCUGGCGGCAGGCCUAACACAUGCAAGUCGAGCGGAUGAAGCGAGCUUGCUUCUGGAUUCAGCGGCGGACGGGUGUGUAAUGCCUAGGAGUCUGCCUGGCAGUGGGGUAUAACGUCCGGAAACGGGCGCUACUACCGCCUACGACCUGCGGGAGCAAGUGGGGGGUCUUCGGACAGCACGCUAUCAGAUGAGCCUAGGUCGGAUUAGCUAGUUGGUGGGGUGAAGGCCUACCAAGGCGACGAUCCGUGACUGGACUGAGAGGAUGAUCAGUCACCCGGGAACGUAGACACGGUCCAUACUACUAAGGGAGGGAGCAGUCGGGAAUAUUGGACAGUGGUCGAAAACCUGAUCCAGUCAUGCCGCGUGUGUGAAGAAGAUCUUCGGAUCGUGAAGCACUUUAAGGUGUUAGGAAGGGCAGUAAGUUAAUACCUUGCUUUUUUGACGUUACCAACAGAAUAAGCACCGGCUAACUACGUG